GAAUUCGAUUCAGGCCUAGCACAUGCAAAUAGAGCGAACCCUUUGGGGUGACCGGCGGACGGGUGAGUAACGCGUGGGUAACCUGCGCUAUACACACGGAUAGCGUACCGAAAGGUACGCUAAUACGAGAUAAUAUAUUUUUAUCGCAUGGUAAAAAUAUCAAAGCUCCGGCGGUAUAGGAUGGACCCGCGUCUGGUUAGCGAGUUGGUAAGGUAAUGGCUUACCAAGGCGACGAUGAGUAGCCGACCUGAGAGGGUGAUCGGCCACGUUGGAACUGAGACGCGGUCGCAAACUCCUACGGGAGGCAGCAGUGGGGA
rnacentral:rRNA from 1 species